AGUGAACGCUGGCGGCAGGCCUAACACAUGCAAGUCGAACGGCAGCACAGGGGUAGCAAUACCCUGGGUGGCGAGUGGCGGACGGGUGAGGAAUACGUCGGAAUCUGCCUAUUUGUGGGGGAUAACGUAGGGAAACUUACGCUAAUACCGCAUACGACCUACGGGUGAAAGCGGAGGACCUUCGGGCUUCGCGCAGAUAGAUGAGCCGACGUCGGAUUAGCUAGUGGCGGGGAAAGGCCCACCAAGGCGACGAUCCGUAGCUGGUCUGAGAGGAUGAUCAGCCACACUGGAACUGAGACACGGUCCAGACUCCUACGGGAGGCAGCAGUGGGGAAUAUUGGACAAUGGGCGCAAGCCUGA
rnacentral:rRNA from 1 species